rnacentral:lncRNA from 1 species
AGUGUGACACCUAAUGAGCCACGCUUAUUUUUCACAUGUAAAUGUGUGCGUUCAUGACUGAAAACCACACACACACACACACAUACUUCGUUAAUAAAUAAGAUAAUUGAUAAGCUGGCCUCCAGGCUCCUGAUUCUCUGACCGGAAUCAGAUCCGAUUGUCGCUUCACCAGUGUAACACGUCGUGGGAGUGGAAUCUACACGACAUUUGAUGGUCCUUCGAGCCGGAUGAAGCAAUAAAGGACAAUAUGGAUCACGCAGCGACAGAUGCACCGACCAGACCCACCAGAGUGAGUCGUCUCCCCCUCCACUUAGCAGAAUAUGAGGUUAGUUACUGUCCCUCAGAUGCUCGCCCUCCAACGCCUUCCACCUGUUCUAAUGACACACAAGGAAGCAACACGAGGAAAACAUCUCACAGUGCACGCACCUCUAGUUCACGAUCAACAAGGAAGACCUCUUGCUCUACUGGGUUCUAUCCAGCUCAAUCAUUGUCCGCUGUACAAGCUGCAUUCCUGGAGGAAAAUAUUAAACAGCAUCAACUCCAGAACCUCCGUCAGGAGAUGGAAGAUGACCUACUGGCCGAAUUACAACACCAACAGCUGCAGGCCCAAGUGAAAGCAGCGCAGCAGGCUCAAGAGGAGGCACUGCAGGCCAGAGAGGCCUUAACUAAACGACUGGAGAGAAAUCGUCGCUUGAAGCAAGCAGAGACUGAUCUUCAGAUUGCCAAACUUGUAACCUCAAUGCUAUCAGCAGACCCCAGUGCAGAUACACUGGAACCCCCAUCAUCACCAGCAGCAGGCUUCAACCCACAUUUUCCUACCGGUGCACCACUCGGGACAGUAACACCUACACCACAGAGUCCGGUUAGGACACACCUCAAUACACUGGCUGCAGUGCCACCGCCACUCACAGUUACCACAGCUAUGACGUCAACCACUGUGAAUACAAUGGCGCUAUCUUCAGCUGCACCUGUACAAGUUCCAUUUGUAGUUUCCAGCACAAUGAAUCAGACACCAUCAUCAUCUCUGGAUCCACAUACAGCAACAACAGCAGUAAUUCCUUCCAGGGCUGAGGUGAGGUCACAACCCUGUCACAGCUUAGCAGCGCAGCACCCUGUACCCAUCAGCACGCAGCCAUGUGAGGUACCUUCUCCCUUUAACCCAGCA